GAUGAACGCUAGCGGCAGGCCUAAUACAUGCAAGUCGAGGGGUAGAAGAGGCUUGCUUCUUUGAGACCGGCGCACGGGUGCGUAACGCGUAUGCAACCUACCUUCAUCUGGGGGAUAGCCCGGAGAAAUCCGGACUAAUACCGCCUAAAAUCACAGGAUGGCAUUAUCCAAUGAUCAAACAUUUAUGGGAUGGAGAUGGGCAUGCGUGUCAUUAGCUAGUUGGCGGGGUAACGGCCCACCAAGGCGACGAUGACUAGGGGAUCUGAGAGGAUGGCCCACAAAACUGGUAAUGAGACACGGACCAGACUCCUACGGGAGGCAGCAGUAAGGAGUAUUGGUAAAUGGAGGCAACUCUGAACCAGCCAUGCCGCGUGCAGGAAGACUGCCCUAUGGGUUGUAAACUGCUUUUAUUCGGGAAUAAACCUUAUUACGUGUAAUAAGCUGAAUGUACCGAAGGAAUAAGGAUCGGCUAACUCCGUGCCAGCCGCCGCCGUAA
rnacentral:rRNA from 1 species